rnacentral:rRNA from 1 species
GAUGAACGCUAGCUACAGGCUUAACACAUGCAAGUCGAGGGGAAACGAUAGAGAAAGCUUGCUUUUUCUAGGCGUCGACCGGCGCACGGGUGAGUAACGCGUAUCCAACCUGCCCAUCACUUGGGGAUAACCUUGCGAAAGUAAGACUAAUACCCAAUGACGUCCAUAGAAGACAUCUGAAAUGGAUUAAAGAUUUAUCGGUGAUGGAUGGGGAUGCGUCUGAUUAGCUUGUUGGCGGGGUAACGGCCCACCAAGGCGACGAUCAGUAGGGGUUCUGAGAGGAAGGUCCCCCACAUUGGAACUGAGACACGGUCCAAACUCCUACGGGAGGCAGCAGUGAGGAAUAUUGGUCAAUGGGCGAGAGCCUGAACCAGCCAAGUAGCGUGCAGGAUGACGGCCCUAUGGGUUGUAAACUGCUUUUAUAAGGGAAUAAAGUGAGUCUCGUGAGGCUUUUUGCAUGUACCUUAUGAAUAAGGACCGGCUAAUUCCGUGCCAGCCGCCGCAGUAA